rnacentral:lncRNA from 1 species
UUUAGGGUUUUUUUUUUUUUUGAUUGCCAUCCUUGCUUCUUGGGCCAAACUUCCUUAGAGGCGUCCCUCGUACUUCACACACUCAAUCAGCUCAGGCCACCUUCACAUUUUGUGGGCCAAACUUCCUUAAUGGCCUAGGUACUUCACACACCCACCUAUGCUAGGCUUAUUGGAUAAUUAACCCACUCCUUGUGAGAUUUUUCUAGCGCUUGAUUUAGGUAAUUUCUACCGAUGAUAGGAUUGAUUUCCAAAGUUAGGUGGUUCUUGAUAUUUCAUCUACUAAAUGUGCCCAUUUUCAUCCGUGGUGUAGGGAUGUACAGUGUUGGGCCUUUUUCCUA